GUCCGCCGGAGAAAGUAUAUUAAGAGAAGAUUGAUGAUUGGAGCUGAUCACUUCAACCGUGAUCCAAAGAAAGGCCUAGAAUUUCUCCAAGGAACACAUCUCUUGCCUGACAAACUUGACCCUCAAAGUGUGGCCUGCUUUUUCAGGUAUACUGCUGGGUUAGAUAAGAAUCUUGUUGGGGAUUUCCUGGGCAAUCAUGAUGAGUUUUGUGUUCAAGUUCUUCAUGAAUUUGCUGGGACAUUUGAUUUCCAAGGCAUGAACUUGGACACUGCUCUGCGGCUGUUCUUGGAAACUUUUAGAUUGCCUGGAGAAUCUCAAAAAAUACAAAGGGUGCUGGAGGCAUUUUCUGAGAGAUACUAUGAGCAAUCACCACAGAUCCUAGCUAACAAGGAUGCUGCUCUUUUGUUAUCUUAUUCUCUCAUAAUGCUUAACACAGAUCAGCAUAAUGUGCAGGUGAAGAAAAAGAUGACAGAAGAGGAUUUUAUCCGGAAUAAUAGGCACAUCAAUGGAGGCAAUGACUUGCCUCGAGAAUUCCUGUGUGAAUUGUACCACUCAAUUUGUAAGAAUGAGAUACGGACAACUCCAGAACAAGGAGCUGGUUUCCCUGAAAUGACCCCAAGUCGUUGGAUUGAUCUAAUGCACAAAUCCCAGAAAACUGCUCCAUUUAUUGUAUCUGAUUCAAGAGCCUACCUUGACCAUGACAUGUUUGCUAUAAUGUCAGGUCCCACAAUUGCUGCUAUCUCUGUUGUGUUUGAUCAUGCAGAACAUGAGGAUGUUUACCAGACAUGUAUUGAUGGAUUCUUAGCUGUAGCCAAAAUUUCAGCAUGUCAUCAUCUUGAAGAUGUAUUGGAUGAUCUAGUUGUUUCUCUAUGUAAGUUCACAACCCUCUUGAAUCCAUCAUCUGUUGAAGAACCUGUGCUAGCCUUUGGUGAUGACACAAAAGCCAGGAUGGCGACUGUGACUGUUUUUACCAUUGCAAAUAGAUAUGGUGAUUAUAUUCGCACAGGUUGGAGAAAUAUUCUGGAUUGCAUUCUACGGUUGCACAAGCUUGGUCUUCUGCCAGCACGUGUAGCCAGUGAUGCCGCUGAUGAAUCUGAGGUUUCUGCUGACCCUGGGCAUGGGAAACCUAUCACAAAUUCUCUGUCUUCAGCUCAUAUGCAAUCCAUGGGAACUCCAAGACGAUCUUCUGGAUUGAUGGGUCGGUUUAGUCAGCUCUUAUCUCUUGACACUGAGGAGCCAAGAUCGCAACCCACUGAACAACAACUUGCUGCUCAUCAACGUACCCUGCAGACCAUCCAAAAAUGCCAUGUUGACAGCAUAUUUACAGAGAGUAAGUUCUUGCAAGCUGAAUCUUUAUUGCAGCUUGCACGAGCACUCAUCUGGGCAGCAGGGCGUCCCCAGAAAGGAAACAGCUCCCCAGAGGAUGAAGAUACUGCAGUUUUCUGCCUGGAGUUGCUGAUUGCAAUUACUCUGAACAACAGGGACAGGAUUGUUCUAUUGUGGCAGGGGGUUUAUGAGCACAUAGCUAACAUUGUUCAAUCAACCGUAAUGCCUUGUGCCUUAGUAGAGAAGGCUGUGUUUGGACUCCUCCGGAUUUGCCAGCGGCUGCUGCCAUACAAAGAGAACUUGGCUGAUGAACUUUUGAGGUCAUUGCAACUUGUUUUGAAACUUGAUGCCCGUGUUGCUGAUGCUUACUGUGAACAAAUUACACAGGAAGUCAGUCGCCUUGUGAAAGCAAACGCUACGCACAUCAGAUCUCUAAUGGGGUGGCGUACAAUUACAUCACUACUUUCCAUCACAGCUCGGCACCCUGAAGCUUCUGAAGCUGGAUUUGAGGCGUUGUUGUUCAUAAUGAGUGAUGGAGCUCACUUGUUACCUGCCAAUUAUGUCCUCUGUGUUGAUGCAGCCAGGCAGUUUGCAGAGUCUCGUGUGGCACAGGCAGAAAGGUCUGUGCGUGCACUAGAUCUAAUGGCAGGUUCUGUUGAUUGUUUAACUCGGUGGUCUCAUGAGGCUAAGGAAGCAAUGGAGGAGGAGGAAGCUGCAAAGUUGUCACAGGAUAUUGGGGAGAUGUGGCUGAGGCUUGCGCAGGGACUAAGAAAAGUUUGUUUGGAUCACAGAGAAGAUGUUAGAAACCAUGCACUUUUAUCAUUGCAAAAGUGCUUGACAGGAGUGGAUGGGAUCAAUCUGCCACAUGGUUUGUGGUUACAGUGUUUUGAUCUGGUAAUCUUUACGAUGCUUGAUGACUUGCUGGAAAUUGCUCAGGGACACUCCCAAAAAGAUUACAGAAACAUGGAUGGCACACUAAUAAUUGCUGUAAAGCUCCUUUCAAAAGUGUUUUUACAGUUACUACAUGAACUUGCACAGUUAACUACUUUCUGUAAAUUAUGGCUGGGGG
rnacentral:misc_RNA from 1 species